CGGAGCCCUUCACGCCGUACUUGUCUGGCUGGCCUCGCUCGUCCAGGUCCUCCUCCUCAUCCGAAAAGAAGUAAGCCACCCCGACGCGUAGCUCGUCCUUCUCGAUCCCCGAGGGGUCCCCGGUCGGCAGCUCGCUGUAAUUCAGAAUAAGACAUGGAGUUCUGAAACAUUUUAUAUUUUAACACACCAUCAAAACAAUUGAACAGCAUCCAAGCAAUGCACAAGGAGUACAUAAAACAGAAAAUGGACAGCAAGUGCAGCAAGGUGAGCAGUCAAACUAUAGUCAGGCACAAUAUCAUCUCCAAAAACUGUAUCAACUGAACUGACUGAAACUCAUUUGCUGUUUCAUGACCCAUUUAACAGAAGACUCUGUAAUAAAUAAUGGCCAGUAUUCGCGAGCGAAGAUCCAGGGAAGGUCUUUACACCUUCCAGCCUGCGCAUUGGAUUUUUUAGGUAUAUCAGCCCUAGAGACCUUGUGUGCCACCGGAGGGACACGUGACAACAGCCAGCCUCGCUCUCAGGAAGGAACCCAGCAACCUGCCCUUGAGAAUCCUCAGCAGUCAGUCUCAGAGACAGUCUUUAAAAUUUGAUAUUUGCCCAAUGAUAAAUAUGGGAUGACACUGUCCAAGUCACCAUCUGAGAUUUUGUGGAAUUGGUUUGAAACUACUGAAAUAGCAGCAAUGAGAAACAGCAAGCUGUGUAUUCUUAGUGAAGGGAUACAACUUUUGAAACAGGAGACUGGCUGCCAUUUUGAUAUAAGGAAUAGCAGUACUGGAAAAAAUAAAAUAAACAAACCACCGAACACCUGAGCUGUAGUGCAGGACUCAAAAUCUGACGAUACCUGAAUACCUACUUCUGGUUCUUCCCAGAAGCCACGAGAAAAGCAUUCCCCCACACUUAGCUUCAGUAAGUAGUGGCUAUUAUUAGGAAAUAUUUAUACAACAUUACACCGCAAUGUUUAAAUCAAGCUAAAGAUCCUAAUGUAUUAAGGCACUACAUUAAAAAAACCAUUUCUAGACAAGAAAAUUGCAGUUUGAUAUUAACUGUUGUCAGAGAUCUACUCCAAAUAAUAUCUCCCUAGUCCAACAGACAGAAACUAACAGUACCAUCCUAUUUAUUUUCUCUCCUAAAGUAGCAUAUAAAGUCUUAUUAGACUCUAGUUCACCACUGCAUUCUGACAAAAUGUAUCUGAGACAAAGAAUACUUGUGUUUUCAGUGC